rnacentral:rRNA from 1 species
GACGAACGCUGGCGGCGUGCUUAACACAUGCGAGUCGAACGGAAAGGCCCUGCUUUUGUGGGGUGCUCGAGUGGCGAACGGGUGAGUAGCACGUGAGUAACCUGCCCUUGACUUUGGGAUAACUUCAGGAAACUGGGGCUAAUACCGGAUAGGAGCUCCUGCUGCAUGGUGGGGGUUGGAAAGUUUCGGCGGUUGGGGAUGGACUCGCGGCUUAUCAGCUUGUUGGUGGGGUAGUGGCUUACCAAGGCUUUGACGGGUAGCCGGCCUGAGAGGGUGACCGGCCACAUUGGGACUGAGAUACGGCCCAGACUCCUACGGGAGGCAGCAGUGGGGAAUAUUGCACAAUGGGCGGAAGCCUGAUGCAGCAACGCCGCGUGCGGGAUGACGGCCUUCGGGUUGUAAACCGCUUUCGCCUGUGACGAAGCGUGGGUGACGGUAAUGGGUAAAGAAGCACCGGCUAACUACGUG